GGGAAGGUGGCUCAGUGGUAGAGUGCUUGCCUUGCAUGCAUGAAGCCCUGGGUUUGAUUCCUCAGUGCCA
rnacentral:tRNA from 1 species